rnacentral:rRNA from 1 species
GAUGAACGCUGGCGGCGUGCCUAAUACAUGCAAGUCGAGCGAACAGACGAGGAUUUCGCUCUUCUAAAGUUACCGACGGACGGGUGAGUAAUACGUGGAUAACCCACUUCUUUGACUGGGAUAACUGCGGGAAACCGUAGUUAUUACUGGGUAAAUUAUUGAACCGCAGUGUUGGAUAGAUUAAUACGGGUUUGGUAUGACCUCUCGGCCUAUCCGCGUCGUAUUAGGGUGUUGGUAUGGCAACACCUUACCAAGGCAACGAGCCGUAGGCGACCUGGGCGGGUGGUCGGCCACAGUGGAACGGAGACACGGUUCAGACUCCUACGGGAGGCAGCAGUCGGGGAUCUGCCGCAAUGGGCGAAAGCCUGCCAGAGCAACGCGGCGUGAGUGAUGACGGUCUUCGGAGCGUGAAACUCUGUUAUUAGGGAAGAACAAUUGUGUAAGUAGCUAUGCACGUCUUGACGGUACCUGAUCAGAAAGCCACGGCUAACUACGUG